rnacentral:lncRNA from 1 species
UAGCAGAGAAGUCUUGAUUCAUGAUCUUGGGGAAAAGCUGUCCAAGUCAAGGAUGCUGUCUUCUUCUGGGGAGAAACUUCCCUGGACGUAUAACAUUGGAAAGAAGCAAUUUACUCAUCUAGACUUGGAGAGUCUGGCUCAACAUCAAAUUAAAAUCAUGCUGGUGUUCACGUGAGGGUGCUUUUGUGCAAAGCUGGAGAAGCACGGGAUGUGAAGGGCCUUGCUGGAGGCAGAGCUCUGCAGA